AUUAAAAACCAAUGCCCUUCGGGGCUCUCUGGUGAUUCAUAAUAACUUCUCGAAUCGCACGGCCUUGCGCCGGCGAUGGUUCAUUCAAAUUUCUGCCCUAUCAACUUUCGACGGCUGGGUCUUGGCCAGCCGUGGUGACAACGGGUAACGGAGGGUUAGGGCUCGACCCCGGAGAAGGAGCCUGAGAAACGGCUACUACAUCCAAGGAAGGCAGCAGGCGCGCAAAUUACCCAAUCCCGACACGGGGAGGUAGUGACAAUAAAUACUGAUACAGGGCUCUUUCGGGUCUUGUAAUUGGAAUGAGUACAAUUUAAAUCCCUUAACGAGGAACAAUUGGAGGGCAAGUCUGGUGCCAGCAGCCGCGGUAAUUCCAGCUCCAAUAGCGUAUAUUAAAGUUGUUGAGGUUAAAAGGCUCGUAGUUGAACCUUGGGCCUAGCCGGCCGGUCCGCCUCACCGCGUGCACUGGCUCGGCUGGGUCUUUCCUUCUGGAGAACCGCAUGCCCUUCACUGGGUGUGCC
rnacentral:rRNA from 1 species